rnacentral:rRNA from 1 species
UACGUAGGGUGCAAGCGUUGUCCGGAAUUAUUGGGCGUAAAGAGCUUGUAGGCGGUUUAUCGCGUCUGCUGUGAAAUUUCGGGGCUCAACCCCGAACUUGCAGUGGGUACGGGCAGACUAGAGUGUGGUAGGGGAGACUGGAAUUCCUGGUGUAGCGGUGAAAUGCGCAGAUAUCAGGAGGAACACCGAUGGCGAAGGCAGGUCUCUGGGCCAUAACUGACGCUGAGAAGCGAAAGCAUGGGGAGCGAACAGG